GAAAUAAUUAAAAAAUGAAAGCAUAGCAAUCGUAUCAUCUUCAUCUGAACCUCUGUUGUUCAAGAUGAUUUCGCCUUUUCCUUCUCAUCUGCAGUUGAAGAUAAACUCUUUCUUUUGCUUCUUCUUUGUGAGAUGAAAUUUGUUAUUUUCUGUGAAUUAUGUUGCAAAUGCUACUUGUUUGUUUCCUUCUGUUGAUGUCCAAAUCCUAUGAACUUUGAGAAUUUAGCCACUCUUUACUCCUGUAGACCCUUCAGCUUAUCUUCCUUGUUGACUGCCAAUUCAUUUUCUUGAAGCUCCAAAUCUGGUGCUAGCAGCCCUCAUUGAUGAAGAUAUCUUAAGAUUUCAGCUUGAUAAGCUCUAAUUUACUCAGGAUAUGGUUGCUGAUCCUCAUUUGCUACAAUUUUAUCCUCUGGAUGCCCCGACUCUGAUAGGGCUGCAAAUUGGUUGCUUGUUUGCAAAGUAUUCGCUGGAGCUUCUACUUUCUUUCCCUUGCUACUGCUACCAGAUGCAUCAUCUUUGGAAUAAGUUUGUCAAGUUGCUCCAUCUCUGGCCAUCCAUAAGAGAAUUUACCCACAACAGCAUGUUGUAGUUUCUCAAUGGUAUUCAUUCUUUCGACCUCCUCCUCAGUCCAUUUAAGAUAUGGCUCCCCAUGAAGAAAAGAUAUUUGCUUGAUCUCAAUUGGUGGAACAGGAUGUGAAACUGUAGGCUUCAAGAGAUUUGCAUAUUGUAAUUUGUUCUCAUUUGGUUGUGUUAUCACUCCUUCCUUAGGUGUUGCAAAAGUUAAUUGCUGGCCAGCCCCACCGGAGGACUGGCCACUGGCCGCAAAAGCCAUAAGCAACUAUCUUGAAAUAAGGUUAUGCAUGAAAAUAGGAGGUGAGAGGCUCAACUAAUGAAAUUUUCUCUCAGGCAAAUCAUCAAACAGGUUGCAGGCAAAACUUUAAAUCUCCAUCAGAAUCAGAAUCAGAAUCUGAAGAAUGUAAGCAUGGAUUUGACCGACGUGUGGGUCUAGAGUUGUUUUACUAUAUGUGAUGUUCUUUGGAAUCAAUGCUUAUUCAUCUCUGUCAAAGAUUGAGAAUCGUAUUUUUUAGUGAGAAGUAUAUUCUUGCCUGUGUAGCACUUUUAUAGUUUUAUGACGUUAGAGGUGCAGUUUUUUGUAUAUAUAAAAAACAAAGCAUCAUCGGGUGGGAAUGUGGGAAGCUAACUUGAAGG